UACGUAGGGCGCAAGCGUUAUCCGGAAUUAUUGGGCGUAAAGAGCUCGUAGGCGGUUUGUCGCGUCUGGUGUGAAAAUCCAGGGCUUAACCCUGGACCUGCAUCGGGUACGGGCAGACUAGAGUGCGGUAGGGGAGAUCGGAAUUCCUGGUGUAGCGGUGAAAUGCAUAGAUACCACCCAGAACUCCGAUUGCGAAGGCAGCCUACUGGUCGUUAACCGACGCUCAGGCACGAAAGCGUGGGGAUCAAACAGG
rnacentral:rRNA from 1 species